rnacentral:snoRNA from 1 species
AGGUGAUGAUAUAAUAGAAAAAUAUUUUGAAAAAUUUGAAAAUAUAAAAGAAAAAUCUGAUUUCAAUAAAUAU